rnacentral:rRNA from 1 species
GGACGGGUGAGUAACACGUGGGUAACCUGCCCUUAAGUGGGGGAUAACAUUUGGAAACAGAUGCUAAUACCGCAUAGAUCCAAGAACCGCAUGGUUCUUGGCUGAAAGAUGGCGUAAGCUAUCGCUUUUGGAUGGACCCGCGGCGUAUUAGCUAGUUGGUGAGGUAAUGGCUCACCAAGGCGAUGAUACGUAGCCGAACUGAGAGGUUGAUCGGCCACAUUGGGACUGAGACACGGCCCAAACUCCUACGGGAGGCAGCAGUAGGGAAUCUUCCACAAUGGACGCAAGUCUGAUGGAGCAACGCCGCGUGAGUGAAGAAGGCUUUCGGGUCGUAAAACUCUGUUGUUGGAGAAGAAUGGUCGGCAGAGUAACUGUUGUCGGCGUGACGGUAUCCAACCAGAAAGCCACGGCUAACUACGUGCCAGCAGCCGCGGUAAUACGUAGGUGGCAAGCGUUAUCCGGAUUUAUUGGGCGUAAAGCGAGCGCAGGCGGUUUUUUAAGUCUGAUGUGAAAGCCCUCGGCUUAACCGAGGAAGCGCAUCGGAAACUGGAAAACUUGAGUGCAGAAGAGGACAGUGGAACUCCAUGUGUAGCGGUGAAAUGCGUAGAUAUAUGGAAGAACACCAGUGGCGAAGGCGGCUGUCUGGUCUGUAACUGACGCUGAGGCUCGAAAGCAUGGGUAGCGAACAGGAUUAGAUACCCUGGUAGUCCAUGCCGUAAACGAUGAAUGCUAGGUGUUGGAGGGUUUCCGCCCUUCAGUGCCGCAGCUAACGCAUUAAGCAUUCCGCCUGGGGAGUACGACCGCAAGGUUGAAACUCAAAGGAAUUGACGGGGGCCCGCACAAGCGGUGGAGCAUGUGGUUUAAUUCGAAGCAACGCGAAGAACCUUACCAGGUCUUGACAUCUUUUGAUCACCUGAGAGAUCAGGUUUCCCCUUCGG